UUUCAUUACAGAACCUUUCUGGAGGCUUCCCUAGUUAGAUAUUCAAGAUGAUACUGAAUGCAAACAGAGGGAGAAAACUGAUGAAGUAGCAGAUAGUGAUCAGAUUUGUGGUCACAAGAAAGAAUGUACAUAUGAAAACAUUAGAUUUCAUGUUUGUUGUGUGGGCAUGCCGUGUCAAUUAAAAUUAAAUUAAUAUUACCAAAGACAAAUGCUCAACUCUACAAGUAAACGUUAGCUAUUUAGACAUAAAAAAUACAUAUUAUUGCCAAUGCUUUCCGACAGAAGAAAAUAAUGUAUGUAUGGUAAGACGAGAGAUGAUGCGAAAACCUGCAUAAUAUUCUUUAGAAUUAAACAACACCUUUGAUCACUAACCGCCUAAUUUGGGUAUAAAAGAGGGAAUGUGGAGAUGGAAUAGUUAUGUUGAUCCAAGAUGUGAGAAUGAAGAAAAACGGUUUGAUAAUUUAAUUUGUCAUGAUCAGAAAAUUAUUAAACUGGCACAACCUGAAAGUAUAAGCGAAGGCGAAUAAACAUGUUUGAAAAAGGUCAGGAAUAGAGCAAUAAUAUAAAGCUCAUACUCAUUAACAUAUGUACAGUUUUCAGGUGUUAAUCUGCUUUAGGAAAGUAUUGAUUUUGAUAAAUGUAUUUUAGAUAUUUAAAGAAUUGGCAAGAUUAUAUCAAUAAAAAAAUCUUUGAAAUUCGUUUUUUUUGCUUAUAACUAUGACACCUCUGUAUUGGAUUGUAAUGAAUAAUAUAUUUUCUUAGGUUAUUCUAUGUAGAACGACUGUCAUAAAGUUGUCACAUAUCUAAUAUUAAAUUAAUGUUGAUGUGA